rnacentral:rRNA from 1 species
UGCAAGCGUUAUUCGGAUUUACUGGGCGUAAAGCGCGCGUAGGCGGUUAGGUAAGUCUGAUGUGAAAGCCCGGGGCUCAACCCCGGAAGUGCAUUGGAUACUGCCAAACUAGAGUAUAGGAGAGGAGAGCGGAAUUCCUGGUGUAGAGGUGAAAUUCGUAGAUAUCAGGAGGAACAUCAGAGGCGAAGGCGGCUCUCUGGACUAUUACUGACGCUGAGGCGCGAAAGCGUGGGUAGCAAACAGGAUUAGAUACCCUGGUAGUCCACGCCGUAAACGAUGGAUACUAGGUGUCGGGAGCACUUAUCCUCUCGGUGCCGUAGCUAACGCGUUAAGUAUCCCGCCUGGGGAGUACGGUCGCAAGAUUAAAACUCAAAGAAAUUGACGGGGGCCCGCACAAGCGGUGGAGGAUGUUGUUUAAUUCGAUGCAACGCGAAAAACCUUACCUGGGCUUGACAUCCCACGCUACCCUGUGAAAGCAGGGGUUCCCUUCGGGGACGUGGUGACAGGUGUUGCAUGGCU